rnacentral:rRNA from 1 species
GAUAAACGCUGGCGGCGUGCAUAGCACAUGCAAGUCGAACGAUGAAGAUUAAAAGAUUUCUUCGGAAUGAACUUAAUUGGAUUAGUGGCGGACGGGUGAGUAACGCGUGAGUAACCUGCCUUGUACAAGGGGAUAGCCGUUGGAAACGACGAAUAAUACCCUAUGACAUCAAAUAAUCGCAUGAUAAUUUGAUCAAAGAUUUAUCGGUAUAAGAUGGACUCGCGUCUGAUUAGCUAGUUGGUAGAGUAAAAGCCUACCAAGGCAACGAUCAGUAGCCGGCUUGAGAGAGUGUACGGCCACAUUGGGACUGAGACACGGCCCAGACUCCUACGGGAGGCAGCAGUGGGGAAUUUUGCACAAUGGGGGAAACCCUGAUGCAGCGACGCCGCGUGAUUUAGAAGGCCUUCGGGUUGUAAAAAUCUUUUGUAUGGGAAGAAAAUGACAGUACCAUACGAAUAAGGACCGGCUAAUUACGUG